UCUGUUUGAUCCUGGCAGAGGUUACUGCUAUCGAGGUUCGACUAAGCCAUGCGAGUCGAAUGUAGCAAUACAUGGCGAACUGCUCAGUAACACGUGGACAACCUGCCCUUAGGUUGGGUAUAAACCCGGGAAACUGGGUAUAAUACCCGAUAGGUCUCGAUUGCUGGAAUGCAUCGAGAUUUAAAGCUCCGGCGCCUAAGGAUGGGUCUGCGGCCUAUCAGGUAGUAGUGGGUGUAGCGUACCUACUAGCCUACGACGGGUACGGGUUGUGAGAGCAAGAGCCCGGAGAUGGAUUCUGAGACACGAAUCCAGGCCCUACGGGGUGCAGCAGGCGCGAAAACUUUACAAUGCUGGCAACAGCGAUAAGGGAACCUCGAGUGCCAGGUUACAAAUCUGGCUGUCGAGAUGCCUAAAAAGCAUUUCAUAGCAAGGGCCGGGCAAGACCGGUGCCAGCCGCCGCGGUAACACCGGCGGCUCGAGUGGUAACCGUUAUUAUUGGGUCUAAAGGGUCUGUAGCCGGCCGGAUAAGUCUCUUGAGAAAUCUGGCAGCUUAACUGUCAGGCUUUCAGGAGAUACUGUCUGGCUCGAGGCCGGGAGAGGUGAGAGGUACUUCAGGGGUAGGGGUGAAAUCUUGUAAUCCUUGAAGGACCACCAGUGGCGAAGGCGUCUCACCAGAACGGACCUGACGGCAAGGGACGAAAGCUAGGGGCACGAACCGGAUUAGAUACCCGGGUAGUCCUAGCCGUAAACGAUACUCGCUAGGUGUCGGCCACGGUGCGACCGUUGUCGGUGCCGUAGGGAAGCCGUGAAGCGAGCCACCUGGGAAGUACGGCCGCAAGGCUGAAACUUAAGGAAUUGGCGGGGGAGCACCACAACGGGUGGAGCUUGCGGUUUAAUUGGAUUCAACGCCGGAAAU
rnacentral:rRNA from 1 species